AGGUGUGCUUUACUUUCAGAAAACAGAAGAGCCUGAGGAGAUUGUAGAAAACAGUUAUGGUGAUGGCAGUAGCAGUGUUGUAGAUCAAUUUCCGUCCUUACAAAAGUACAUAAGACCUUCAUUGGACAAGGGUGCUGAGUUAAUUAC